AUUCAGCUGACGAGUCCCAAAUAGGACGAAACGCGCGUCCCGGAU
rnacentral:hammerhead_ribozyme from 1 species